rnacentral:rRNA from 1 species
AAUGAACGCUGGCGGCAGGCCUAACACAUGCAAGUCGAACGGAUCCUUCGGGAUUAGUGGCGGACGGGUGAGUAACGCGUGGGAGCAUACCCAAAGGUACGGAAUAGCCUCGGGAAACUGGGAGUAAUACCGUAUGUGCUCGAAAGAGGAAAGAUUUAUCGCCUUUGGAUAGGCCCGCGUUGGAUUAGGUAGUUGGUGGGGUAAUGGCCUACCAAGCCGACGAUCCAUAGCUGGUUUGAGAGGAUGAUCAGCCACACUGGGACUGAGACACGGCCCAGACUCCUACGGGAGGCAGCAGUGGGGAAUCUUAGACAAUGGGGGAAACCCUGAUCUAGCCAUGCCGCGUGAUCGAUGAAGGCCUUAGGGUUGUAAAGAUCUUUCAGGUGGGAAGAUAAUGACUGUACCACCAGAAGAAGCCCCGGCUAACUCCGUGCCAGCCGCCGCGGUAA